GUGUUCGCUUCAGCAGCACAGAGACUAAAAUUGUAACAAUACAGAGAAGAUCAGCAUGGCCCUGUGCAAGGAUGAUGCACAAAUUCGUGGAGCAUUACAAAUGAUC